rnacentral:tRNA from 1 species
GCCUCGUUCUGAACGGCGGACUGUUAAUCCGUAUGUCACUGGUUCGAGUCCAGUCAGAGGAGCCA